GACGAACGCUGGCGGCGUGCUUAACACAUGCAAGUCGAACGGAAAGGCCCUGCUUUUGUGGGGUGCUCGAGUGGCGAACGGGUGAGUAACACGUGAGUAACCUGCCCUUGACUUUGGGAUAACUUCAGGAAACUGGGGCUAAUACCGGAUAGGAGCUCCUGCUGCAUGGUGGGGGUUGGAAAGUUUCGGCGGUUGGGGAUGGACUCGCGGCUUAUCAGCUUGUUGGUGGGGUAGUGGCUUACCAAGGCUUUGACGGGUAGCCGGCCUGAGAGGGUGACCGGCCACAUUGGGACUGAGAUACGGCCCAGACUCCUACGGGAGGCAGCAGUGGGGAAUAUUGCACAAUGGGCGGAAGCCUGAUGCAGCAACGCCGCGUGCGGGAUGACGGCCUUCGGGUUGUAAACCGCUUUCGCCUGUGACGAAGCGUGAGUGACGGUAAUGGGUAAAGAAGCACCGGCUAACUACGUGCCAGCAGCCGCGGUGAUACGUAGGGUGCGAGCGUUGUCCGGGAUUUAUUGGGCGUAAAGGGCUCGUAGGUGGUUGAUCGCGUCGGAAGUGUAAUCUGGGGGCUUAACCCUGAGCGUGCUUUCGAUACGGGUUGACUUGAGGAAUGUAGGGGAGAAUGGAAUUCCUGGUGGAGCGGUGGAAUGCGCAGAUAUCAGGAGGAACACCAGUGGCGAAGGCGGUUCUCUGGGCCUUUCCUGACGCUGAGGAGCGAAAGCGUGGGGAGCGAACAGGCUUAGAUACUCUGGUAGUCCACGCUGUAAACGGUGGGUACUAGGUGUGGGGUCCAUUCCACGGGUUCCGUGCCGUAGCUAACGCUUUAAGUACCCCGCCUGGGGAGUACGGCCGCAAGGCUAAAACUCAAAGGAAUUGACGGGGCCCCGCACAAGCGGCGGAGCAUGCGGAUUAAUUCGAUGCAACGCGUAAAACCUUACCUGGGUUUGACAUGGAUCGGGAGUGCUCAGAGAUGGGUGUGCCUCUUUUGGGGUCGGUUCACAGGUGGUGCAUGGCUGUCAUCAGCUCGUGUCGUGAGAUGUUGGGUUAAGUCCCGCAACGAGCGCAACCCUUGUUCACUGUUGCCAGCACGUUAUGGUGGGGACUCAGUGGAGACCGCCGGGGUCAACUCGGAGGAAGGUGGGGAUGACGUCAAGUCAUCAUGCCCCUUAUGUCCAGGGCUUCACGCAUGCUACAAUGGCUGGUACAGAGAGUGGCGAGCCUGUGAGGGUGAGCGAAUCUCGGAAAGCCGGUCUCAGUUCGGAUUGGGGUCUGCAACUCGACCUCAUGAAGUCGGAGUCGCUAGUAAUCGCAGAUCAGCAACGCUGCGGUGAAUACGUUCCCGGGGCU
rnacentral:rRNA from 1 species